CUGGUACCUGCCUACUACCUGUAACAUUAUAUAACAUUAAUACAUUGCGAAUGUCUUUUUUUUAUGUUCUAAAGUUAACCCUAAAUAAAGUAUAUAUUUUGGUAUGGCAACUUUCCCCCCUGGUGAUGGCGUCCACGUUGUGAUCAGCUGACUCGAGGGUGACGUGGAGAGAACUUUAAAGGUUGAGCACAAUGGAUUCUUUUGAAGAGUACAUCAAUCUUCAUUGGACUACCAUAGUUGUCACAUGUUCAUCUCCCAGCAUAAGAGAAGGAGUGGAAGAAGAGUGUAAACGAUUAUCUAGUGGUGGUUUAUUGCCUCAACAUGAUUUUCUCCUGGUGUUGGAUGAUCCACGGCCUGAAAUCAGACCAUCAAAACAUGAUUCAGAACUUCAGUCAACUCCAGGGGUGGGGAGUGGAGGGGCAACAAUUAAUGCCCUCCUUGUGGCGAUAGAGAGGCUCUCUGCCCAACACCAUCACACCACAAUCAACAGCGAACUUGUUCACAGUAGCCGCAUUCUUGUGGUUCAUUAUGGUCGUCUCUUGCUGCAUUCUCCAGGAGGCACAGCAUUCCUACGACUCUCACCAAAACAAACGUUUGUGCCCCCAAGUGCCAGAACAACGCCACCUACUCUCUUACAACAUGCCAUUUGGAUGACAACUAAAAUGAGUGCAAAGAGCAAAACUGGAGUGUGGGUGACAUCAUUAGAUGCUUUCCUUCCUUACUCCCUGGAGUUACACCCUCCCGAUACUGAUGGCAUUGAUGGUGCUAUAGUGUGUACUGUGGCAGCCCCCUUAGAGCAUGCUGUGCACCAUGGUGUUGUUGUUGCUGAGAAAGGUCAAGACAUUAGUAAAAUGGAAUACAGAUUGCCACUAGAAGAACUGAGAAAGGUUUUUCCAGGAGGUGUCAGUGCAGUGAUCUCUGGAAUAGUGUUCCUAAGUGCCUCAUUGACAGAACAAUUACUUGGCCUUCACACAGUGCCACCCCUAGACUGCUGUACUUAUUAUGGCACUGACAGUGGAGUGUCACCUCUACAGUUGUCAUUAUACUUCGACCUCCUGCUGCCACUUUGUUCUGCAGUUCACUAUGAGGAAUACAUCUCUGGCCAGUGUGGAACUAUCUAUGCUCAGGCAGCAAGUUACAAUACCCUCACCCAACAGGAGUCUCGUUCAGCCAGACUCCAGAUUUGGAAGCAGUUACAAGGACAUAAGAUUACUUUUCACCCUCUUCAAGGUGUGCAGCAUCACUAUAUGGGUGCUAACUUAUCAUUUCAAGACUCACUGAUACCAUUAUUACCUUCAUCCAGCAUCUUGCUUCAUGACACAUUUAUUGGACACGAUAUGAAUGAGCAUGUUGUGAUAGUGAACUCGGUCAUAGAAGGAAGUGUAAAGUCCUUGCAAGAAAAACUCUAUAUCAUAGAUUCUGCAAUUGGUAAAAAUGUUUCCAUAACCUCAGUAGGGCCUGGUGUUCUCUCAGGGCUCCAGUUACAGGAAAGUAAUAUAACUGUGGAAUUACCAGGUGGGCAAGUUUGGCAGAUGUAUCCUGGGGAGAACUAUGAUGUAGUCACCUGUCAUGGGUUUAGUGAUGAUUUAUCUAAGUUACAACAUGAUACUAAAGCAACAGUGUUCAACACUCUUUGGUCUGUUUUCUAUGCCAGAACUGGAUUAGAAAAGAAAGAUUUGUGGCCACACACUAACAGCAAAUAUCAAACUGUUAUUACGGCCAAAUUCUUUGUUAUGGAUCGUCCUGUUGUGGAACAAAUAAGGAUGAUGAUAACCCUGGUGGGGGCAGUUAGUAAUGAUCAGAGACAACAGGAAUGGAUGUUAGAUAUUCAGGAAUGGAAAACAUGCACACGAGUCUCACUUUUAGAUGUUGCAACUAAAUGUGACUUGAAGAAACUAGUAAGACAGCGGGAAGAUAUAUACCUGGAAACUGUUAAACGACUCAUCAGUGACACCGCGGAUGAAGUGGGUGGGAAGUCUCUCCUUCCCUAUUUCAGUUACCUUGCAACAAGAGGACAAGAAUCAGUUGAGGCAAUUCUUCAUGAGUUGCAUAAGCAGCUACAACGACCUCGUACUUCCACCCCUCGUUUGUUGGCAAAUGCAGCUGACCUACUCGGCUGUAUGGCAGCAGGGAGAGGUGGGCUGAGAAGUGGACCUGCAGCCAAUCCUCAGUGGAGAAAUGCAUUGGUGGAGCUUAAAGCUGGAAAUCAGAAAGAGGCAGUGGAUCAUAUGACAAUGGUGUGUACUCAGUGGAUGAAAUCAGGCCAUCCUGAAGACUUGAUCAGAGCUGCAAGGCAUUACGAACGAGCUUCCCAAAUUGUCAUAAGUCAACAGGUGGAAACAGCAGUUGUCCAUGUAUCAACGAUGUGGGUGGCACCGGAGCUCCGCCAGAAAGUGGAUGUUGGAGUAUGGGUGGAGGCUCAUUCACCCGCUCGCAUUGACCUGGCAGGAGGUUGGUCUGAUACUCCACCAAUUUGCUAUGAACAAGGAGGAGCAGUAUUAAACAUUGCUAUCAAGAUUAACAAGAAAAAGCCCAUUGGUGCUCGUGUCCGAAUAGUGCCUGAACUCUACAUUGCUUGUGUUCUCCGCGAUUGGUCUGGUGGAGAUGUCCGCCUGACUUGGACUGAAUUAGAUCAUCUGUGUGAUUAUGACAACCCUGUUUCCCCCGGAGCUUUGGUGAAGGCUGUGCUCCUCUACUGCCAACUGGUGGACCUCAACAGUGAAGACUCUCUCGUUUUACAGUUAAAGAAUAGGUUUGGUGGUGGUGUGGAGAUCGAAGUUUGGUCACAUUUGCCCCAAGGAUCAGGUCUUGGAGGCAGCAGUCUCCUAGCUGGAACUUUGUUGUCUGCCAUUGUGGUGUUGCUGGGGUAUCCACUACCUCGUCACUCACAUCUCAUCCAUGCAACUCUGUGCAUUGAACAGUGGCUCACCACUGGUGGGGGAUGGCAGGACCAGGUUGGAGGACUUUUAGGAGGAGCCAAGUUGGGUGUGAGCAGCAAGGGAACUCCUGUCACAGUGUCCACCUACAAGAUCCCUCUAUCACAGGAAUUUGUCAGCUCCCUCAAUGACCAUCUUCUCUUACUCUACACUGGGAAGGUCCGUCUUGCAAGAAACCUGCUUCAGACAGUCAUUCGUAACUGGUAUGCCCGUGACCCGAAUAUAACAUCAUGCUUCUCACAGCUUCAACAGUUGGCUCUACAAGCUGCUGGAGCCAUGCUUGGAGAAGACCUCAAGAUGCUGGGCUCCUGUAUUAAUAACUAUUGGAGAUUGAAGAAAAUGGUUGCAUCUGGGUGUGAAACAAGCAAGGUAUCCAAACUAAUGGCUACUCUACAAGAUCAUUGUGCGGGUAUAUCCUUGGCUGGAGCUGGUGGAGGGGGUUACCUUUAUGCACUGAAAGCUAAGCCAGGACAACUGGCAGAUGAUAUCAACCUUGGUGGAUUAACUAGUGACUGUGUAGAGGUGGAUGAACAUGGGUUAGAGUUGUGCAUAGGUGGAGAAUCAGUAGCUAAGUUAAAUGAAGAUAAAAUUUUCUUGACUCGUGAGAAGCUGAAGACUUUGUUUGAGAACUAAAGUUAUCAGCAGGUUUUCAGCUUCAGACUACAUUUUAUCACUUUUUAAUUAAAUUAAAGUAUUGUAAAUAUUAUAGGUCAGUUAGUAAAUUGUAAUUCAUCCACAGUAAAUGGUCAUGCAUCCAUUGAAGGUUUCACAGCCAGAUGUCAACCCUCAGUGUGAAGGACUUCCAGAGUGUGAAGAACCUUGGUUAAUCCAUGUUGUUGCCACUGGAAACAAUGAUUCUAUUCAUCACUUAUGGGGUAUUCAUGGUGCC
rnacentral:misc_RNA from 1 species